AGCAACUUCACCUAAGAAAUUGAGCAAAGCCCACAGAGUGUCACGAUUUGGCGCCGGCAACAGUUGAAUCAAAUGCUGCAGAGCUUCCUGCUGCAGUCGUCUGUUUCUUAUCUCUGUAAUUUACAUGAACCGUAUUUCAACAUUCACGAGUCGGGUAAUACAGUUGCAUCCACACCAAUGUGUCCCAUGCCAACCUACUCUGUGUGUGAACGAACGCUUGGUAGAGAUCUCUGCACAAAAGAGGAUCUGGUAAAUCCCGGAAGUAUUCCUUCAGCAGAGCAGCCACAUCGUGCGGGCAUUGGUCAGGGCCAAUUUUCGACUCUCGGCCACAGUCGAAAUCUUCUCGCAGCUAUAACAAUGCAUCAGUUUUGAGUUAAAUUCCGAAUACGGUGCGCUUUAGCCGAAGAUGGAAGUUACUCUGAUAGCAGCAACAUGUGAAACGACGCUGAGAAAUUGGUUUUGAAAGGGAUACCUCCGCUUUGGCAGAGGGAGAUACGCGAAAUAUACCGAGGGUAUGAAGUCCGCUGACUUGGAGGUAUUUGAUGCAUUGUUGGACAACGGCUGGAACGGAAUCCCAUUCACCCGGAAAUCCACCACCGCCACCACUGUCGCUCAGCUCUAGCAAUCCCGAGUCACUGCUGGUCAAAGCCCCAGCUUUCGACGAUCGCUUGAACUUGCAGGCACCGACACUGCAAUUUGACAAAUCUACAGGUUGUUUAAGCUUGUCUUCGAAGAGAAAUAUUACAUCAGUAUCUGAGUCUCCCGUUAUAAAUACCUGUACGUAUUUAUUUUUCGUUCGAGUGAAAUCGCUAGUACGAAAACAGUCUCUCCUCGAAAGA
rnacentral:lncRNA from 1 species